UGGUUCUGGCAUCGAUGAAGAACGCAGCGAAAUGCGAUAAGUAAUGUGAAUUGCAGAAUUCAGUGAAUCAUCGAAUCUUUGAACGCACAUUGCGCCCCUUGGUAUUCCGGGGGGCAUGCCUGUUCGAGCGUCAUUUCAACCCUCAAGCUCAGCUUGGUUUUGGGCCCUGCCGGUUACGGCUUGCCUUAAAAGCAGUGGCGGUGCCAUUCGAGCUCUACGCGCAGUAACUAACCUCGCGAUUGAGUCUUGGUGGAUGCUUGCCAGCAACCCUCAAUUAUUUAUGGUUGACCUCGGAUCAGGUAGGGAUACCCGCUGA
rnacentral:misc_RNA from 1 species